rnacentral:rRNA from 1 species
CCUACGGGGGGCAGCAGUGAGGAAUAUUGGUCAAUGGACGAGAGUCUGAACCAGCCACGUAGCGUGAAGGAUGACUGCCCUAUGGGUUGUAACCUUCAUUUAUAAAGGAAUAAGACGAGGCACGUGUGCCUUUUUGCAUGUCCUUUAUGAAUAAGCAUCGGCUAACUCCUUGCCAGCAGCCGCGGUAAUACGGGGGAUGCUAGCGUUAUCCGGAUUUAUUGGGUUUAGGGGGUGCGCAGGCGGCGUGUCAAGCAAGCGGUAAAAUAGCGGGGCUCAACCCCGUCGAGCUGGUUGAACUGGGGGGCUUGAGUUCAGGCGAGGUAGGCGGAAUUCGUGGUGUAGCGGUGAAAUGCAUAGAUAUCACGAAGAACUCCGAUUGCGAAGGCAGCUUACCAGUCUGCGACUGACGCUCAGGCACGAAAGUGUGGGUAUCGAACAGGAUUAGAUACCCUAGUAGUC